AGUGAACGCUGGCGGUAGGCCUAACACAUGCAAGUCGAACGGCAGCACAGGAGAGCUUGCUCUCUGGGUGGCGAGUGGCGGACGGGUGAGGAAUACAUCGGAAUCUACUCUGUCGUGGGGGAUAACGCAGGGAAACUUACGCUAAUACCGCAUACGACCUACGGGUGAAAGCAGGGGAUCUUCGGACCUUGCGCGAUUGAAUGAGCCGAUGUCGGAUUAGCUAGUUGGCGGGGUAAAGGCCCACCAAGGCGACGAUCCGUAGCUGGUCUGGGAGGAUGAUCAGCCACACUGGAACUGAGACACGGUCCAGACUCCUACGGGAGGCAGCAGUGGGGAAUAUGGGACAAUGGGCGCAAGCCUGAUCCAGCCAUACCGCGUGGGUGAAGAAGGCCUUCGGGUUGUAAAGCCCUUUUGUUGGGAAAGAAGUCCAGCUGGCUAAUACCCGGUUGGGAUGACGGUACCCAAAGAAUAAGCACCGGCUAACUUCGUGCCAGCCGCCGCCGUAA
rnacentral:rRNA from 1 species